UACAGAGGGUGCAAGCGUUAAUCGUAAUUACUGGGCGUAAAGCGUGCGUAGACGGUUACAUAAGUCGGGUGUGAAAGCCCCGGGCUCAACCUGGGAACUGCAUUUGUGACUGCAUCGCUGGAGUGCGGCAGAGGGGGAUGGAAUUCCGCGUGUAGCAGUGAAAUGCGUAGAUAUGCGGAGGAACACCGAUGGCGAAGGCAAUCCCCUGGGCCUGCACUGACGCUCAUGCACGAAAGCGUGGGGAGCAAACAGG
rnacentral:rRNA from 1 species